UGGGGAAUUUUGGACAAUGGGCGAAAGCCUGAUCCAGCAAUGCCGCGUGUGUGAAGAAGGCCUUCGGGUUGUAAAGCACUUUUGUCCGGAAAGAAAUCCUUGGCUCUAAUACAGUCGGGGGAUGACGGUACCGGAAGAAUAAGCACCGGCUAACUACGUGCCAGCAGCCGCGGUAAUACGUAGGGUGCAAGCGUUAAUCGGAAUUACUGGGCGUAAAGCGUGCGCAGGCGGUUUGCUAAGACCGAUGUGAAAUCCCCGGGCUCAACCUGGGAACUGCAUUGGUGACUGGCAGGCUAGAGUAUGGCAGAGGGGGGUAGAAUUCCACGUGUAGCAGUGAAAUGCGUAGAGAUGUGGAGGAAUACCGAUGGCGAAGGCAGCCCCCUGGGCCAAUACUGACGCUCAUGCACGAAAGCGUGGGGAGCAAACAGGAUUAGAUACCCUGGUAGUCCACGCCCUAAAACGAUGUCAACUAGUUGUUGGGGAUUCAUUUCCUUAGUAACGUAGCUAACGCGUGAAGUUGACCGCCUGGGGGAGUACGGUCGCAAGAUUAAAACUCAAAUGAA
rnacentral:rRNA from 1 species